GGGGCAUUAGCUCAGCUGGGAGAGCGUCUGCUUUGCACGCAGAAGGUCAGCGGUUCGAUCCCGCUAUGCUCCACCA
rnacentral:tRNA from 3 species